GUGGCUGUGGCUCAGUGGUAGAGCACUUGCCUAGCACGUGUGAGGCACUGGGUUCGAUUCUCAGCACCACA
rnacentral:tRNA from 1 species